AUUGAACGCUGGCGGCAGGCCUAACACAUGCAAGUCGAACGAGUGGCGGACGGGUGAGUAAUGUCUGGGAAACUGCCUGAUGGAGGGGGAUAACUACUGGAAACGGUAGCUAAUACCGCAUACCAUCAGAUGUGCCCAGAUGGGAUUAGCUAGUAGGGUGGGUAACGGCUCACCUAGGCGACGAUCACUAGCUGGGCUGAGAGGAUGACCAGCCACACUGUAACUGAGACACGGUCCGGACUCCUACGGUAGGCAGCAGUGGGGACUAUUGCAAAAUGGGCGAAAGCCUGAUGCAGCCAGGCCGCGUGUAUGAAGAAGGCCUUCGGGUUGUAAAGUACUUUCAGCGGGGAGGCGUUACCCGCAGAAGAAGCACCGGCUAACUCCGUGCCAGCAGCCGCGGUAAUUC
rnacentral:rRNA from 1 species